rnacentral:tRNA from 1 species
UCCCUAGUGGUUCAAAUGGUAAAGCAUCUACCUAUAAUACGGAAGACCCAGGUUCGAUCCCUGGCUUGGGAA